AUGUUCCUCAAAGCUAUUCCCAACCUACUUUUAACUACAUCUGCUCCUGACAUUCCUGAAUCCUCCAAAAGUACUAAGAAAUGCAUUGAGUUAUGCGCUGUAAAUGGGUGCCGACAAAGCAAGGUUACUACAGAACAAUGCCAGCUCCUCUUCCAUUUCCCAAAAGAUAAACAUUUGAGAAGAAGUUGGAUCCAAUUUUGCAACCGGCCCUCUAAAUUCAAUGCUGACAGGUCAAGGAUCUGUUCAAAGCACUUCAGUUCAAAGCAAUUUAGAAGCAAUGCUAGAUUAAAGAAAGAUGGUAAAUGUUAAUGCAUGUUUUAAAUUUAAUGUAUGCUCACGAAUAUGAAUGAAAAUCCUCCUUCUUAAAUUUUCAUUUAUGGAAACAAUUGUCUGUCCUAAAUCUCAAUUCAGUGCGCCAAUUACUUUCUAAUUUCCAUCGUGCGAGGGGCUGCUAAGAAAAGUGACUCUAAAAUUUUUAUCCCUAAUAUUUGCCUAAUAUUAGGUAGUAAUCUCCUUGGUGUCCAAAAGUUGACCAAAUGUUUUGCACAAUCUCACUUUUGUGAUCUCAAAUUUGUGUUUUUGUGCAAUGGACAAUUAGAUAGGGUGUAAAUGGGUCUGUUGCACAUGUCACAUACAGCCAGAUGAAAAGUCAUCCGAAAGGU
rnacentral:lncRNA from 1 species